UACGGAGGGUGCAAGCGUUAUCCGGCUUCACUGGGUUUAAAGGGUGCGUAGGCGGGCAGGUAAGUCAGUGGUGAAAUCUCCGGGCUUAACCCGGAAACUGCCGUUGAUACUAUCUGUCUUGAAUAUUGUGGAGGUAAGCGGAAUAUGUCAUGUAGCGGUGAAAUGCUUAGAUAUGACAUAGAACACCAAUUGCGAAGGCAGCUUACUACACAGUUAUUGACGCUGAGGCACGAAAGCGUGGGGAUCAAACAGG
rnacentral:rRNA from 1 species